AAGGAUCAUUAUCGAGUUAGGGUCUUUAAGGCCCGAUCUCCAAACCUUUGUUUAUUAUACCAUGUUGCUUUCGUGGGCCCGCCUUUAAACGGCCGCCGGGGACUUUCAUACCCCUGGUCAGUGCCCGCCAGUAGCCUUCUUAAACUCCCUUAUAAUUAUGUUGUCUGAGUAUAUAUAUAAAUCGUUAAAACUUUCAACAACGGAUCUCUUGGUUCUGGCAUCGAUGAAGAACGCAGCGAAAUGCGAUAAGUAAUGCGAAUUGCAGAAUUCAGUGAGUCAUCGAAUCUUUGAACGCAUAUUGCGCCCUUUGGUAUUCCGAAGGGCAUGCCUGUUCGAGCGUCAUUAUCAACUAUCAAGCUUGGCUUGUUAUUGGACUUUGUGACUGAAAUAUGCCUCAAGUCCGAAAAAUAAUGACGGUGUCAUGUUUGACCCUAAAUGCAACGAGCUUUUUAAAAGCACGCAUUGAAGUGGUUGACUGACCUUGUCUUAACCAUACAUUUUUCUAAGGUUGACCUCGGAUCAGGUAGGAAUACCCGCUGAACUUAA
rnacentral:rRNA from 1 species